AGUAAAAGAUAUGAAUUAUGGGC
rnacentral:siRNA from 1 species